rnacentral:rRNA from 1 species
UAGGGAAUCUUCCACAAUGGACGCAAGUCUGAUGGAGCAACGCCGCGUGAGUGAAGAAGGUCUUCGGAUCGUAAACUCUGUUGUUAGAGAAGAACACGAGUGAGAGUAACUGCUCAUUCGAUGACGGUAUCUAACCAGCAAGUCACGGCUAACUACGUGCCAG